UACAGUAGAAAAUCAGUUUCAUCAUGUU
rnacentral:piRNA from 1 species